rnacentral:rRNA from 1 species
ACGGAAAGGCCCUGCUUUUGUGGGGUGCUCGAGUGGCGAACGGGUGAGUAACACGUGAGUAACCUGCCCUUGACUUUGGGAUAACUUCAGGAAACUGGGGCUAAUACCGGAUAGGAGCUCCUGCUGCAUGGUGGGGGUUGGAAAGUUUCGGCGGUUGGGGAUGGACUCGCGGCUUAUCAGCUUGUUGGUGGGGUAGUGGCUUACCAAGGCUUUGACGGGUAGCCGGCCUGAGAGGGUGACCGGCCACAUUGGGACUGAGAUACGGCCCAGACUCCUACGGGAGGCAGCAGUGGGGAAUAUUGCACAAUGGGCGGAAGCCUGAUGCAGCANCGCCGCGUGCGGNAUGACGGCCUUCGGGUUGUAAACCGCUUUCGCCUGUGACGAAGCGUGAGUGACGGUAAUGGGUAAAGAAGCACCGGCUAACUACGUGCCAGCAGCCGCGGUGAUACGUAGGGUGCGAGCGUUGUCCGGAUUUAUUGGGCGUAAAGGGCUCGUAGGUGGUUGAUCGCGUCGGAAGUGUAAUCUU